rnacentral:misc_RNA from 1 species
ACUAGGAAACCAACGAUGACGACAUCGACUCCAUCGGCUGCGGCAGCUGGCUUCAAGGAGCGCACAGAGGCCGAUAUGGCCCUUCGAUUCCUGAACCACUGCCUCAGCAACGCCGUGCAGGUGCACUAUCUCGUCAUCAGCUCCUUGCGAGGGGGCGAUUGGAAAACCUCCACGCUUCUGGAAGCUGAGGCGCAAGCGUACAUGCGUGCACUGCUUGCUGUGUAUGCGGCCAGCAGCGGAUUUCGACGCCAGCUCGUGUCAGGGGACUCCUUGUACUACCUUCAGUGCUUGACAGAUGAGGCAACCCGGACCGAUUUUGUGCGUGUUGCAGCAGCGCCGUCUUUUCCCUUUGCGUGUCCUUGAUAAGGGCGAGAGGAAAGUGAUGCGACUGCUGCAUACUCGGACACUCCCCCUGCUCCUGACGCCGCUGGUGGCGGAGAUGCUUGUAGCGAAGAGUGCCGUGCGAGGUUGACCCCUCCGCAUACCGGCUCUGGAGUGACUAGAGCACGCAAAAAUACACACACACACACAAACAGACUUAUAUGCAGAUCGGUGAGGCAGAACAUGGGGCCCCACAGCACUACAGUUUCCAACAUAUAGAGGCGCCACAGAGAGGAGGAGGCGCUACGGCGUGGCCGGGCAUGCUUCUCGGGGAAGAGGGGAUGAGACUGUCUCGUGCAGCUUGUGCGCGCGCGCCCCUCUCAUUCAGCGGCGGGGCGGCGCAGGCUGUCUGCAUCGGCCUAUGUGCGUCUCUCUCACACGCUCUGCUUGAGAGCCUCAUCGCUCUGGAAGCAGGGAAAGAAAAAAAAAGAAUGGGCCGUUCGCUCUCUUGGUGUAUUGCUCCAUUCGCGUUUGUGCGGGUCUCCCCCCUCCUGUGUCUCCUCCUUGCCUGGCUGCAUCGGCACCCAUGCUUGGAGCGUAUCAUUCUCCUCGCCUUCUCUCCUUUUCGUUGUUGCUCUUCCUCUGUUGUCUACUCGACGUGUUUGAAUGCGGGACGGAUGGACGGCCAG